rnacentral:rRNA from 1 species
CAUAUCCAAUUAAGCGGGAGGAAAAAGAAACCAACCGGGAUUGCCUCAGUAACGGCGAGUGAAGCGGCAAAAGCUCAAAUUUGAAAUCUKGKAYCUUCGGUGCCCGAGUUGUAAUUUGUAGAGGGCGACUUUGGGGCGGCUCCUUGUCUAUGUUCCUUGGAACAGGACGUCAUAGAGGGUGAGAAUCCCGUGUGGCGAGGAGUGCGGUUCCGUGUAAAGCGCUCUCUGAAGGGUCGAGUUGAUUUG